rnacentral:tRNA from 1 species
GCCUGGGUGGCUCAGUCGGUUAAGCGUCCGACUUUGGCUCAGGUCAUGAUCUCGCAGUUUGUGGGUUCGAGCCCCAUGUCAGGCU